CCUACGGGUGGCAGCAGUGGGGAAUAUUGGACAAUGGGCGAAAGCCUGAUCCAGCCAUGCCGCGUGUGUGAAGAAGGCCUUCGGGUUGUAAAGCACUUUCAGUGGGGAAGAAAGCCUUGGGGCUAAUACCCUCGAGGAAGGACAUCACCCACAGAAGAAGCACCGGCUAACAUCCGUGCCAGCAGCCGCGGUAAUACGGAGGGUGCGAGCGUUAAUCGGAAUUACUGGGCGUAAAGCGCGCGUAGGCGGUCUGAUAAGCCGGUUGUGAAAGCCCCGGGCUCAACCUGGGAACGGCAUCCGGAACUGUCAGGCUAGAGUGCAGGAGAGGAAGGUAGAAUUCCCGGUGUAGCGGUGAAAUGCGUAGAGAUCGGGAGGAAUACCAGUGGCGAAGGCGGCCUUCUGGACUGACACUGACGCUGAGGUGCGAAAGCGUGGGUAGCAAACAGGAUUAGAUACCCGUGUAGUC
rnacentral:rRNA from 1 species